AGAGUUUGAUCCUGGCUCAGAUUGAACGCUGGCGGAAUGCUUUACACAUGCAAGUCGAACGGCAGCACGGGGGCAACCCUGGUGGCGAGUGGCGAACGGGUGAGUAAUACAUCGGAACGUGCCCAGUCGUGGGGGAUAACGUAGCGAAAGCUACGCUAAUACCGCAUACGAUCUGUGGAUGAAAGCGGGGGACCGUAAGGCCUCGCGCGAUUGGAGCGGCCGAUGGCAGAUUAGGUAGUUGGUGGGGUAAAGGCUCACCAAGCCGACGAUCUGUAGCUGGUCUGAGAGGACGACCAGCCACACUGGGACUGAGACACGGCCCAGACUCCUACGGGAGGCAGCAGUGGGGAAUUUUGGACAAUGGGCGCAAGCCUGAUCCAGCCAUUCCGCGUGCAGGAUGAAGGCCCUCGGGUUGUAAACUGCUUUUGUACGGAACGAAACGCUCUGGGUUAAUACCUCGGGGUAAUGACGGUACCGUAAGAAUAAGCACCGGCUAACUACGUGCCAGCAGCCGCGGUAAUACGUAGGGUGCAAGCGUUAAUCGGAAUUACUGGGCGUAAAGCGUGCGCAGGCGGUGAUGUAAGACAGGUGUGAAAUCCCCGGGCUUAACCUGGGAACUGCAUUUGUGACUGCAUCGCUGGAGUGCGGCAGAGGGGGAUGGAAUUCCGCGUGUAGCAGUGAAAUGCGUAGAUAUGCGGAGGAACACCGAUGGCGAAGGCAAUCCCCUGGGCCUGCACUGACGCUCAUGCACGAAAGCGUGGGGAGCAAACAGGAUAGAUACCCUGGUAGUCCACGCCCUAAACGAUGUCAACUGGUUGUUGGGUCUUCACUGACUCAGUAACGAAGCUAACGCGUGAAGUUGACCGCCUGGGGAGUACGGCCGCAAGGUUGAAACUCAAAGGAAUUGACGG
rnacentral:rRNA from 1 species